rnacentral:rRNA from 1 species
UACGUAGGGAGCGAGCGUUGUCCGGAUUUAUUGGGCGUAAAGCGCGCGUAGGCGGUUUCGUAAGUCGGGUGUGAAAACUCCAAGCUCAACUUGGAGCCUGCAUCCGAAACUGCGAUGACUUGAGUCUGGUAGGGGAACACGGAAUACCUGGUGUAGCGGUGAAAUGCUUAGAUAUCAGGUGGAACACCAGUGGCGAAGGCGGUGUUCUGGGCCAGUACUGACGCUGAUGCGCGAAAGCGUGGGGGAGCGAACAGG